rnacentral:rRNA from 1 species
UACAGAGGUGGCAAGCGUUGUUCGGAAUUACUGGGCGUAAAGGGUGCGUAGGCGGGUCUUUAAGUCAGGGGUGAAAUCCUGGAGCUCAACUCCAGAACUGCCUUUGAUACUGAAGAUCUUGAGUUCGGGAGAGGUGAGUGGAACUGCGAGUGUAGAGGUGAAAUUCGUAGAUAUUCGCAAGAACACCAGUGGCGAAGGCGGCUCACUGGCCCGAUACUGACGCUGAGACGCGAAAGCGUGGGGAGCAAACAGG